CGCUGGCGGCAGGCCUAACACAUGCAAGUCGAGCGGUAGAGAGAAGCUUGCUUCUCUUGAGAGCGGCGGACGGGUGAGUAAUGCCUAGGAAUCUGCCUGGUAGUGGGGGAUAACGCUCGGAAACGGACGCUAAUACCGCAUACGUCCUACGGGAGAAAGCAGGGGACCUUCGGGCCUUGCGCUAUCAGAUGAGCCUAGGUCGGAUUAGCUAGUUGGUGAGGUAAUGGCUCACCAAGGCGACGAUCCGUAACUGGUCUGAGAGGAUGAUCAGUCACACUGGAACUGAGACACGGUCCAGACUCCUACGGGAGGCAGCAGUGGGGAAUAUUGGACAAUGGGCGAAAGCCUGAUCCAGCCAUGCCGCGUGUGUGAAGAAGGUCUUCGGAUUGUAAAGCACUUUAAGUUGGGAGGAAGGGCAGUAACCUAAUACGUUAUUGUUUUGACGUUACCGACAGAAUAAGCACCGGCU
rnacentral:rRNA from 1 species